GCAGGAAGAAGAACACAGCCAGGACCUGGAGAAUGCCCUCAUCCGGCUAGAAGAGGAGCGGCAGAGGAGUGCCAGCCUGGUGCAAGUGAAUGCCAUGCUUCGGGAACAACUCGACCAGGCCAGCGCCGCCAACCAAGCCUUGACCGAUGACAUCCGCAAAGUGACCAGCGACUGGACCCGGAGUCGGGGGGAGCUGGAACAACGAGAGGCAGAAUGGCGGCGGGAGGAAGAGUCUUUCAAUGCCUACUUCAGCAAUGAACACAGCCGGCUGCUUCUUCUCUG